rnacentral:tRNA from 1 species
GCCUAAAUAGUUUAUGUUAAAAUUUCAAUUUGUGGGGUUGAGGAAGUGAUUGAUUUACUUUGGGCA